rnacentral:lncRNA from 1 species
AUGAGUACAGACCAAUGAGUGGAUAACACUUUAUCCAUUACUUCACUAAGCAAGAUGUAGUGGGCUUAGUCUCUAAGUCCUGUGGCCUCACCUAAUAGUUAUCGGCAUAUUUCUUAGUUAAGUCAGAUCCAUCAUUCACCAGCAGACACAAAGUCAUCAUUAGGACCCUCAUCUAAUAAUUAUUGGGCCUAACCCUAUCUCUAACUCGGGACAUUAAAUAUCAAUAGAGUGAUUAUACCUUCUUAAUGUAACCAAACCACUGUAACCAGUCAAGAAUGAUCAAUGCC